rnacentral:rRNA from 1 species
GACGAACGCUGGCGGCGUGCUUAACACAUGCAAGUCGAACGAAGUGGCGAACGGGUGAGUAACGCGUAAUCAACCUGCCCUUCAGAGGGGGACAACAGUUGGAAACGACUGCUAAUACCGCAUACUGAAGGAGGGGAUUGCGUCGGAUUGGCUAGUUGGAGGGGUAACGGGCCACCAAGGCGAUGGUCAGUAGGCGGUCGGGUGGGAUGAACGGCCACAUUGGGACUGGGGCACGGCCCAGGCGCCUACGGGAGGCAGCAGUGGGGAAUCUUCCGCAAUGGACGGAAGUCUGACGGGGCAAUGCCGCGUGAGGGAUGACGGCCUUCGGGUUGUAAAGCUCUGUUAAUCGGGACGCGGUACCGGAAUAGAAAGCCACGGCUAACUACGUGCCAGCAGCCGCGGUAAUUC